ACAUGCUCGCCUUAACUUGGGAUCAUCGCCGAGGAAUUAAUCAUUAAAAACAACUACUCGAACAAAUGGUUCAAAUAUAACUCUUAUUUAAACUUAAACUCAAUUAGAGCAAUAUGCCUUCAACACCAAAGAAAUUCAAAAUCUAGGAGUUAUAACAUUCAAUCUCGCAACAAUAAAUCAAAAUAAAAAGAAACAUAACCUUCGUCCACCAAGUGUUACAAAUCAGAUAACCGAUAGUCUAAAUACGCAUAAAAUUGGAAAAAAAGAAUAUCCUCAGUGCCAUCAUUCAUCUCUAAAGCAGCUACUCAUGUACCUGCUUGUCUGUACCCCAAGAAGAAACACAUAACACCAUAAUAAAACAAAGGGGUGAGAAGAAUACAUUCAAAAUAUAUAUGGUGUAAUAGAAUGCAAGGAUAGCCUAAAGAAAAAACGUUAACUUUCAUGCAUUUCAAUUACAUAAAUCAAUACACCUAUGACUUAAUAACACCCACAACAAUCAUUUGUAUAACCUUUAUGUGAUGCAAUACAACAAUGACUCAAUUCAUGCAUGUGAUACCAAUUCAACAAAGGUUCAUCAUAUAGACCAGGUCCCAACAUCUGAGCCCAGAGUUUCC
rnacentral:lncRNA from 1 species